rnacentral:rRNA from 1 species
UACGUAGGGCGCAAGCGUUAUCCGGAAUUAUUGGGCGUAAAGAGCUCGUAGGCGGUCUGUCGCGUCGGCUGUGAAAACCCGGGGCUCAACCCCGGGCCUGCAGUCGAUACGGGCAGACUAGAGUGCGGUAGGGGAGACUGGAAUUCCUGGUGUAGCGGUGAAAUGCGCAGAUAUCAGGAGGAACACCGGUGGCGAAAGCGACCUUCUGGGCCAUUUCUGACACUGAGGCUCGAAAGCUUGGGGAGCAAACGGG